rnacentral:rRNA from 1 species
GACGAACGCUGGCGGCGUGCUUAACACAUGCAAGUCGAACGGAAAGGCCCUGCUUUUGUGGGGUGCUCGAGUGGCGAACGGGUGAGUAACACGUGAGUAACCUGCCCUUGACUUUGGGAUAACUUCAGGAAACUGGGGCUAAUACCGGAUAGGAGCUCCUGCUGCAUGUUGGGGGUUGGAAAGUUUCGGCGGUUGGGGAUGGACUCGCGGCUUAUCAGCUUGUUGGUGGGGUAGUGGCUUACCAAGGCUUCGACGGGUAGCCGGCCUGAGAGGGUGACCGGCCACAUUGGGACUGAGAUACGGCCCAGACUCCUACGGGAGGCAGCAGUGGGGAAUAUUGCAGAAUGGGCGGAAGCCUGAUGCAGCAACGCCGCGUGCGGGAUGACGGCCUUCGGGUUGUAAACCGCUUUCGCCUGUGACGAAGCGUGAGUGACGGUAAUGGGUGAAGAAGCACCGGCUAACUACGUG